UACAGAGGUGGCAAGCGUUGUUCGGAAUUAUUGGGCGUAAAGGGCGCGUAGGCGGUCUUCUAAGUCCUGUGUGAAAUCCCUCGGCUCAACUGAGGAACUGCACGGGAUACUGGAUGACUUGAGUUCGGGAGAGGGAAGCGGAAUUCCGGGUGUAGCGGUGAAAUGCGUAGAUAUCCGGAGGAACACCGGUGGCGAAGGCGGCUUCCUGGACCGACACUGACGCUGAGGCGCGAAAGCUAGGGGAGCAAACGGG
rnacentral:rRNA from 1 species